rnacentral:misc_RNA from 1 species
UCAUAAACCUGAUAUAGCGGAAAGCCCGCAUCCCGAUUUUUUCAUCGGGGAGGACUUGCAGCGGUAGCAGGGCUGCAG